UACAGAGGGUGCAAGCGUUAAUCGGAAUUACUAGGCGUAAAGCGAGCGUAGUCGGGUUAUUUAAGUCGGGUGUGAAAGCCCCGGGCUCAACCUGGGAAAUUGCAUUCGAUACUGGAUAGCUAGAGUUCGGCAGAGGGAAGCGGAAUUUCCGGUGUAGCGGUGAAAUGCGUAGAUAUCGGAAAGGAACAUCAGUGGCGAAAAGCGG
rnacentral:rRNA from 1 species